UCUCUCUCAAACAAGUGGGAGUUUGUCAGCUUGUUUUUCUCAUGAAAAAAUUUAGUGUCUCUUAUGGUUGUGUUUAGAAUAUGGGUCAUGUGUUCAAAAGGCUGACGUGCCUCAAAAUUUGAAAAAUGAUUCACUACAACUGUGAUGAGGUUAAUUAGCAAUGUUAUUGUAUGCCAGUACAUUCUUGCAUCUUUGCUAAGCGAUUGUGUUUGAAUUAGCCCAAUAUUGUCAGACUAUAAUUUAAACAUUAUUCAAGAAAAAUAAAAAUAAAUUAAAUUGCUGUCAGUGAAGCAGGCUAGAAACAAGAAGAUAGAACAAAAAAAAACUGUAUAUCUGUAAGAACCUUCCAGUUAAAUAUACUCUCUGAUAGUGGAAAGAAUCUGAGACAAUUAAGUUUCUAUCACAUUAAAGGGGUGUUUGAAAUAACGUUUAACACUUCAAAUGUAAAUGGAAACUUUUCUUAUUACAUCGUGUAAAGCGUGUAUUUGUGAGUAUUUAUGUAAAUACACGAGUGUGUUUGAAUAUUAAGUAUGUAUUUCUGUGCAUGUUGCAUUUAGAGUGUUGUGUGUAUGUUGAUCUUUUGGUGUAAGCAGUGCCUCUCCCUAUGUUGGCUGCAGUGGAUGGUUUUUCCAGAGCUCCAUUCAACAUUGAUGACUGAAGCUCAGUUUCAGAGUACCACAGACCCUCUGAAGUGUUAAAAGAUUUAAUGCUAUGAUAGGCAGCCUGUAGGCCAACCGUCCUGAUUGUGGUCACGUUCCCGCUUUCUGUAAUGGUUGACUGGAAGGAAUGGACCACAUAGAGAGCUAGUCAUGAAGACCCGAACCAACAAAGAAUCGAUGCCCGCUCGCAGUGGACGCAGGAGGGGGGGCAGUGAGGAAAGGAGGGGUAGACGUCCGCACCCCAGCCCGUCCCGAGCAGAGCGCAACGAAAGGCAAACGG
rnacentral:lncRNA from 1 species